rnacentral:lncRNA from 1 species
GGUGCAUCACUUCUGGUUGAGCCUAGUUUUAUGCAGAGAGACAAGUGGCAUCUCCAAACUUCUUGAGCUUAGAGCAUGAACCACCACCCACCUCUCCUCUGGCCAGAUGAAUGAACAGAAUAUGCAGACGGUGGCAUGAGCAAAUGAACCUGACUGUACGGACCUGUGCGGCUGGUAAGACCAGCAUCCUGGGAAAGAGAAGAGCUCUGGAGAAAGAGAAAUGCCUUAAAACACAGCGAGGUUGCUCACAGGAGGUUUUUAAUGUCGAAAUGUCUGUGAUGUGUCAAAUUGUCUCCACUGGCUUUGUCUUGACAACUGUAGGAACUAAUCAGACUACUUCUCUUCUAGCAUUAUCAGAAGAAACUUGA